AAACCCUGUUUUAAAAAUAUAUUUAUAUUGAUAUAGGUAUUCUCCUUUUGUUUAAGGAAGCAGCAAAAAAACGAAGGUUGGAAUUUAUUGAGAAAGAAAAGAAGCAAAAGGAUCAGAUCAGGUUCCUGAAGGCUGAGCAGCUGAAGAGGCAAGAGAAGCAGCGGUUGGAGAGGAUAAAUAGGGCCAGGGAACAAGGAUGGAGGAAUGUUUUAAGGGCUGGUGGAAGCGGUGAAGUAAAGGCUUCCUUUUUUGGCAGUGGAGGAGCUGUGUCUCCAUCACCUUGUUCUCCUCGGGGCCAGUAUGAACAUUACCAUGCCAUCUUUGACCAAAUGCAGCAGCUAAGAGCAGAAGAUAAUGAAGCGAGAUGGAAAGGGAGAAUAUAUGGUCGAUGGCUCCCUGAAAGG
rnacentral:sRNA from 1 species